GCAUCCGUAGCUCAGCUGGAUAGAGUACUCGGCUACGAACCGAGCGGUCGAGGUUCGAAUCCUCCCGGAUGCACCA
rnacentral:tRNA from 3 species